CCUACGGGAGGCAGCAGUGAGGAAUAUUGGUCAAUGGACGAGAGUCUGAACCAGCCAAGCAGCGUGAAGGAUGACUGCACUACGGGUUGUAAACUUCUUUUAUAAAGGAAUAAAACGAGGCACGUGUGCCUUUUUGAAUGUACUUUAUGAAUAAGGAUCGGCUAACUCCGUGCCAGCAGCCGCGGUAAUACGGAGGAUCCGAGCGUUAUCCGGAUUUAUUGGGUUUAAAGGGAGCGUAGAUGGGUUGUUAAGUCAGUUGUGAAAGUUUGCGGCUCAACCGUAAAAUUGCAAUUGAUACUGGCAGUCUUGAGUACAAUUGAGGUAGGCGGAAUUCGUGGUGUAGCGGUGAAAUGCUUAGAUAUCACGAAGAACCCCGAUUGCGAAGGCAGCUUACUAAACUGUGACUGACAUUGAUGCUCGAAAGUGUGGGUAUCAAACAGGAUUAGAUACCCUGGUAGUC
rnacentral:rRNA from 1 species